rnacentral:lncRNA from 1 species
AGCAGGACAGGAGGUCUGCCCUUCUAAUGUCAGCCAAGAAGACUCCAUCAUUGCUACGGACCAGGGACUGCCAUGCGUUUCCCAAGCUUUUUCUUUUCUGAGUUCAUAUCAUGGUUAUCCUACCUCUGCCCCACCCCUGCAUUUCAUGGUAGUGUGAUGAGUCGGGGGAACAAGCUCUUUGUCGUUUGGUUUAUGGACUAAGGAACCAAGACUGGAUCUGAUGGAGGGAAUUGCACAUCACCUAGAGAUCAUGGAUAUUACGUUGCCCGCAGUGAAUGGGUGGGGCAUUUGGCUCUUUCCGGUGACAGUCAAGUGAGCCUGUUCCUUGGGAAGAAAGAAUCAUAUGUAUUUUGGGUGGUCAGAGAGGCCGAUGGGUCAAGAUUGCUAGCUGGCCCUCCACUUCAGCAAGCUCUUCCAGUCCUGGGGCUGACCUGGAUGAUCUUUCUGAGAUCUCUGCAUGGAUGCCCUUUUCUUGCUUUUGCAACAUUUUCAGUGUAAAUGUCAUCUCUUCAGCAAGGACUUUCAUCACCACCAGAGCUAAGUGGUCCUCACCCCAGGCAUUUCCAACCCAUUACUGUUUUGUUUUCUUCUUAGCACUUAAUCGUUAUCUGACAUUCUUCCAUUGAUUUGCUGCUUUCUGUGUUUAUUGCAUGUUUCUUUUGUCUAGACAGUGAGCUCUAUGAAGACGAGACUUUGUCUGGAUUAAAGAUCAGUUCACUUCUGAGUUCCCGGAGUUUAUCACGACCUGCCUAAAGAUGGCCUUGGUUGACUGAAUGAAUGAAGCCAAACUAGGUGCUCUUGCAAAUCCUGUUCCUCAUACUCUGUCUUGGUGGCAAGUGGGUUCAAUAGAUGACUUCCUGCGGUGAGAGGCUAAGAGAGUGGGAGGAAUGUCAUUUUUCAGUCGACAGAAAUAAGAGAGACCGCCCUGGCUGCCAUGUUGAGACUAGCUUGCCAUGGAUAAGAGAAGAAUCAAGAAGACCAGGUAAGAAGCAAUCGAGGUGCUUCUGGUGUGAGGUGCUUCUGGUGUAAAGUGCUUAGCUGGGGUGGCAGCAGAGAAAGGGGUGGGAGUGGUCAGCCUGAGUCCACUCUGGCACAUGGCACUGACGGAGCUUGCUGAUGGUGGGAGGUGGGUGUGAGGGGAAGAGAGGAGACAAAGAUGAAGUCAUCCAAGGACUAGUGGGCUGAGCAAUGGGAAGGGUGGAGUUGCCAUCCACUGAGUUUGUAUUUCUCUGUUUCUGGAACUCAGUGGUAAACUUCUGGCAGACAGGAACCAGCGUCUUGUGUAUUCUGUAACCUUCAUACAAACAUGAUCAAAAUUAUGCUAAAUGUAAAAUGAAGUUUAAAGUUCCCCUUAUAGGGUCUUUUCUGGCCCACAGAGGGGUCUCAACGUUGACCUUGGGGCCAGCCAACCAAUGAUCGCUCUCCUUUCCAUGCUGUGUGGAACCCACUUGCUCCUCUGGUGGUGACUUUUGGAUGGCCACGGGGGUAGGUUUCUGCCUAUCUAGUCAAACUAUUAUUUAACCCUUCAUAUGGGUCCAGGUACUUUCCUGAACAGGAGAAUUUCUAGAGAGAGGGAUGGAGGCGGAGGGUGGGAAAUCAGCUCUCAUCCCCUUUAACCAUCUUGUUCUCUUCUUGCUGCAAGACUCCAACAAGGUGAACUUAACCCAGAGGAUACAAGGAAAACAUUUUUGAAGCUUUUUAUAGGGCCGGUUCAGUAAUGUAAAUGUCUGCUUCUGUCCAGGGAUAAACAAUAGGGAGUAAUUGGUACCGAUGCAGCAAACCAGAGUCCCAGGCAAUUGCUGCUGUGUAGAACUGGAGGUGCAAUAAACCAGGCAUGUGUGUGAGCCUAUUGCAGCCCAGGAACCCCUCCUUCCCCAGCCCUGGCCUGAGCAUCAGAGAAGUCCCUUUAAGACCUUCCCUUUCUUCUCAUUGUCCUGUUCUUCCCAGAGUCCUCUCUUGGAUCCAUUCAUUGUUGGUGCUCCUUAUGCACCAUCCUGCAUUAUUUCCACAUUCUUACACCCCCUUAAGAAGUACCUGGGUCCUAGAUACUUUCAAGCCUCUAUGUCUUGCCAACUGUUUCUGUAAGUGCUGCAGGUGUUUGUCUAUUGCUAUCAAGUGCAUACCGUAAGUUAAAGAUACUUUAUUGCUACAAAAUGUUAACCAUCAUCUGAGCCUUCAGCAAGUUACAGUAGUAAUAUCAAUGAUCGCUGAUCACAGAUCACCUUAGCAAAUAUAAUAAUAAUGAAAAAGUUUGAGAAUUACCGAAAUGUAACACAGAGACACCUAGCGAGCCACUGCUGUAGGAAAAAAUGGCACUAAUAAACUCGCUGGAUGCCACAGCGUUGCCAUAAACCUUCAAUUUAUAAAAUUCAAUAUUGUCAAAGUGUAAUAAAAUGAGGUAUGCCUGUAUUUCAACAGUGCUUCUCCUUUAGGGUCUUUCCUUGUAAAUUACUGAAACCUCUAGGGGUUCAACCCAAAGGUUCUCACUUAGAUUAUUUACAUAAAGAUGUUCAUAAUCCCAUGGAAUAACAAAUCUUUAUUACAAAAUUGAGUCUCGUGUUUAGGAAUCUUUGGAGAAGGAAGUUUAAAUACCAAGAAAGAUAUAUUAAGAAAUAAAUUGUGGGAAGAUCGAGGGAAAUUGAGGGGAAAAAAAUCCACUGAUGAGCAUAUUUCAAUAGAGCUUUGACCUACUGGUAGCUCAUCUCUGCACAGCCUCUUCCCAUAGCCCUUCCUACAUGAGCGCCUCCUCCAGGAAGUGGGGCUGUUUGUUAUCAAGCACGUCCAUGUGUUCUUUCUCAGUAAACCAAAAGAUUUCCAAUUUAUCGGAGGGAUUUCAACUCUAGCAAAAUGUUCAGUGUCCCCAAAGCUAUUCAAUACUCUUCAUUAUUCUUAUAACGAUCAGUAGAACACCCUCAUUUAUGUUUAUAUUUUUCCAAAGAUAAAAAUUGGAGCAAUUGGAGGAGGGGGAGAGAUUCAUGGAUACAAAUGGCUUGAUCUUUUCACCUGUUUCACUGGCUCUUUUUUUGAAUGUUGACUUAAUUUUAUACAUCUAGGUAUUCCCACUUCACCCAUUUUGUGGGUGCUUCAGGUGGCCCAAAUAGGAAGGGCCUAUUUAUCGAUUUUUUCUUCUGUGAAUGUGGCCACUGUCCUCUUAGCCUGUGAACAUAAGGUCUGCCGUCCUCUUGCUCUUACUGGUGGGGCAUGGGGGAGGGGUUGUACCCUGAAGAGGCAAAAAUCAUUUCAAAUCCCCUGAAGACCAAAAUAUCAAGAAUUAGAGGGCAAUGUAAUGGCUGGGAGAGGGAAGAAAGGACAGAAGCAAAUAGUUGACAGGUCUCUAAAAUUUUAAUUUUCAGCCCAAAGAAUUUCUUGAAAGGCACCUUUGAGGGGGAGGGCUCAUUGAUUUUCUUUUCUUUUUUUUUGACUUUUUAGGGCCGCACAUGUGGUAUAUGGAAGUUCCCAGACUAGGGGUGGAAUCAGAACUGUAGCUGCUUGCCUACAACCACAGUCAAGCAAUGCCAGAUCCAAACUGUGUCUGUGACCUACACGGCAAUUCACAGCAACACUGGAUCCUUAACCCACUGAGCGAGGCCAGGGAUCGAACCCAUAUCCUCAUGGAUCCUAGUUGGCUUCAUUACUGCUGAGCUUCAAAGGACACUCUCACUGAUUUUUUAAAAAUUUCCGUAGUUUCUUUCCAAGUCCUGCUUCUGUGACUGCUGCUGGAUGUCAACUCACAAGCGCAAAAGAGGUCACCAAGGUUCCCAAGGCUUUUCAGAGAACAAAAGGGAACCUGCUUCACACUGAUAAAUGACUUGCCUUAGCACCUGUAAGUCUGUUUCACAUUUCACGUCAACCUUUCUUCAUGGGCUGAUAACAGCAACUGAAAAUGAAUCCUGACAGCCUGUUGUGAUUUCACAGUAUCCAGCAGGAAAGCCCAGCUUAAUUGUGAGCAUAUGAUUUUUUUUCUUUCAAGCACUGAAUUUUCUAUUGAGUCCACUGCUCUGAUAAAAUCUACUUAUUUAGCAGUUGCUAAUCAUUGGGGCAUUCAUUCUUUUUCUCCCAUGAUUCUAGCAAGUUGGAGUUUGCUUUCUAACAAGCCACUGAACUGCU